rnacentral:rRNA from 1 species
AGAUUGAACGCUGGCGGCAUGCUUUACACAUGCAAGUCGAACGGCAGCGCGGGGCAACCUGGCGGCGAGUGGCGAACGGGUGAGUAAUAUAUCGGAACGUACCCAAGAGUGGGGGAUAACGCAGCGAAAGUUGCGCUAAUACCGCAUACGAUCUAAGGAUGAAAGCAGGGGACCGCAAGGCCUUGUGCUCCGUGGAGCGGCCGAUAUCUGAUUAGCUAGUUGGUAGGUAAAGGCCUACAAGGCUACGAUCAGUAGCUGGUCUGAGAGGACGACCAGCCACACUGGAACUGAGACACGGUCCAGACUCCUACGGGAGCAGCAGUGGGAAUUUGGACAAUGGGCGCAAGCCUGAUCCAGCAAUGCCGCGUGAGUGAAGAAGGCCUUGGUAGUAAGCUCUUUGUCGUAGGAAGUAACGGU